GGAGGCCGUGGAUUGGCGGAGCCGCGCUCCCCUCAGCGGCGGCGGCUGCUUCAGCGUGCUUUGCGCCUCCCCGGGUCGUGGCCUCAGAUUCUUGAAAAAUCCUGAAGCAGAUGACUGCAGUGAGCCUGUGGAGAAGUGUCGUCACUUAAAACGAGUGUUAAAUAACGGUCCGGCCAGCCGCUUUGGUGCAGAGGCAGGUGUGGUGGCUCUGGCGUUCUGUCGUGCUUAUCAUUCCUGUGGGUUGUAUGGCCUUAUGAAGGUAAGAGUAUUUCACUGAAAUACAGUCAGAGAGGAGUCACCAGUACUUUCUUGUCAAAAGAAGAGGACAGGUCCAUACAGGGAUUUUGUCUGUCGCUGAGCCUGGUAUUCUUCUUGAAAACUUGAAGCAAGAGGCACACAGGGGGCUGGGACUCUGGAAGACGGGCUGGAAAUUAAGUUACAUUGAAGUAACACUCAAAUCAAUAAGAUGUGGGGGGUCAGAGGCUGCUCCAUGGAUUAAACCCCUUGAUUCUCUUUGCUGUGUCCCCACUUGCUUGUUUACUUAUUGGCACUAAGGGUGAGGAAAUCAAUCAUUUCUUUACUACAUGACCUGGAGGGGUCUUUGUUCCUGAGUGCUUGGAGAAGGAGGAUGAUCUCACCUGGAGUUCAGAACAGCACAGCGUGGCAUCUGGCAUGGCAGAGUUUCGCCGUGCUGCUCCUCAGCAGCCAUUGCAAUGAAUAGGAACAAAACCAGUUUCUAACAGGUGACUUGACAUGUUAAUUUCCUUAAUUUUGUAAUCUUGGGCUUGGCUGCUGUGCAUAUAAAUAACUCUUCCAAGAGGGACACUGCAGCCUGAGAGAGCGACCUAGAAAAAAAGAGAAGUUAUUAGGAAGGUGGAUUGAUUUAAGAAACAGAGAAAAACGUUUGCUUUCACUGUUACUUCUCAAGCUUCUCAUGGUAGGACAGUUACCUUAGAGAUGUUCUGAGUUUCCAAAAUGCUACACAAAUAUGUAGUGUUUACUCAAGAGUAAUACACAAAAACUGACAUCUUUUUAUUUAAUGUAAACCACUAUUAUAUUUUUUAAAAUUACAAUAAAAUUGUUAAAAACUGA